AAGCUCGUAGUUGAAUUUCGGGGUUAGUAGGUUGGUCAUGCCUCCGGUAUGUACUGAUCUCACUGGUUCCUCCUUCCUUAUGAACCGUAAUGCCAUUAAUUUGGUGUUGCGGGGAAUUUGGACUGUUACUUUGAAAAAAUUAGAGUGUUUAAAGCAAGCUAACGCUUGAAUACAUUAGCAUGGAAUAAUGAAAUAGGACGUUCGAUCUUAUUUUGUUGGUUUCUAGGAUUGACGUAAUGAUUAAUAGGGAUAGUUGGGGGCAUUAGUAUUCAAUUGUCAGAGGUGAAAUUCUUGGAUUUAUUGAAGACUAACUACUGCGAAAGCAUUUGCCAAGGAUGUUUUCAUUAAUCAAGAACGAAGUUAGGGGAUCGAAGACGAUCAGAUACCGUCGUAGUCUUAACCAUAAACUAUGCCGACUAGGGAUCGGAUGAUGUUAAUUUUUAAUGACUCAUUCGGCGCCUUACGGGAAACCAAAGUGUUUGGGUUCCGGGGGGAGUAUGGUCGCAAGGCUGAAACUUAAAGGAAUUGACGGAAGGGCACCACCAGGGGUGGAGCCUGCGGCUUAAUUUGACUCAACACGGGGAAA
rnacentral:rRNA from 1 species